rnacentral:rRNA from 1 species
UACGAAGGGUGCAAGCGUUACUCGGAAUUACUGGGCGUAAAGCGUGCGUAGGCGGUUUGUUAAGUCCGCUGUGAAAGCCCUGGGCUCAACCUGGGAAUUGCAGUGGAUACUGGCAAGCUAGAGUGCGGUAGAGGAUGGUGGAAUUCCCGGUGUAGCGGUGAAAUGCGUAGAGAUCGGGAGGAACACCCGUGGCGAAGGCGGCACCCUGGACCAGCACUGACACUGAGGCACGAAAGCGUGGGGAGCAAACAGG